UACUCUUGUCAAAUCAAACUUCCCUCCUUAUGGAAGAGACUUUAUAAAAUAGAUUAAGAGUGUGUAUAUGGGCGAGGCAGUCGCAUGGUAGCUUCAGUGCGUGUACUUUUCCCAUCCUUUUGCUAUUGCUGAAGAGAGAAGCAGCUGUUCAUCACAAAGUCUCUCCACUUCGGAGACUCGAAGUACGUGAGCCAUUUUGUUUUGAGAGGAGAAAGGGCAGGAAAGAGGAGGGCGAGACAGAGAGUGUUCAAUUCCUGUAUUCUCAUUAUCUAUUCGGCUCUUCUCUGCUCUUCUGCAGUCACCCACGAUCCCACUGGAAAAACCAUAACCAACACAAGUUAGUGAAGUAAAGCAACGUCCAGUGACCAUAAUACCCCUGAAAAAUCUCUGAACUCACUUCCUCAAUUCCCGAUGUUCAUGCUCACAGGUCAUUGGCCUUCAGAAGAUGUACUUGCUUACUUUUGCUUAUCACAGGCAGACAUGUUCAGGUAUAAAAGAGUUAUUGCGCUUGGAUCGCGUUAUGGAUUAGCUGGUUUAGUUAUUGCAAGUUGCAACCAUCACCGAGGCAUUCAGAGGUAGUGAUAUCAGAUGGAAAUCCUGAAGUAGUGGAAUGUAUCCUUUAUUUAUUUACUUUUUGAUGACGGCUGUAUCCUCACCCAUAGGCUGGUUAAUUUACUUUUGGUUUAAUCAUGCCAAGCGUUAUUGUGUUGGGAAAUUCAAUGUAUAUUAUAUCUUUUGAUGGUGUUUGUAGGUUGAUAUGUCUUGUUAUUGUCUGUCGAAGUCCAUAGAAUUUAUUUUUUAGACACCUCUUUCAACUUAUCUGUGGAUUGUACAAGGGAAAGUCAGAGUUCCAAGAGUUCUUGGUUUUUUGAGGUUUAGCAUUUUUACCUUGCAGAGUUACUUUCUUUUGUCUACUUAUCAUUUGCAUUGUUUAUAAUUGUUUUAUAUCAGUUGGUAAAUGCGGCAAUUCUUUUGUUUGCAGUCCUCAACACAUGGGAAAGUGCUUGUCUGGGUAACAUUGUUCAGCUGACACAGAGAUGAAUGCGACUACAAGGAGAUGAUUGCUCAUCUUUCUCUUUGUUCCAUUUGUCCCCCAAAACUGUAAUUUAAUAUGAAAAUCAUGGUUUUAAUGUGAAUUCUAUUUGUUAGAUUACGUUCUCUAUGGA